rnacentral:rRNA from 1 species
GACGAACGCUGGCGGCGUGCUUAACACAUGCAAGUCGAGUGGUAAGGCCCUUUCGGGGGUACACGAGCGGCGAACGGGUGAGUAACACGUGGGUGACCUGCCCUCAGCUCUGGGAUAAGCCUGGGAAACUGGGUCUAAUACUGGAUAUGACUCCACGGUGCAUGUCGUGGGGUGGAAAGCCUUGUGCGGCUGAGGAUGGGCCCGCGGCCUAUCAGCUUGUUGGUGGGGUGANGGCCUACCAAGGCGACGACGGGUAGCCGGCCUGAGAGGGCGACCGGCCACACUGGGACUGAGACACGGCCCAGACUCCUACGGGAGGCAGCAGUGGGGAAUCUUGCGCAAUGGGCGAAAGCCUGACGCAGCGACGCCGCGUGAGGGAUGACGGCC